rnacentral:lncRNA from 1 species
GGCGGCGGCGGCGGCGGCGUCGGAGCGCGGCGCUGUGCCCCGGCGGCGAGCUGGGCCCCAGCGCUCCGCGGCCGCCCCCGGCGCGCUCGCCCGCCCGAGCGGCGACGCUGCGACCCCCGGCUGCGGCCCGGACCCCGGCUGCGAGCUGCGCGGCCGUCCCGGCGCCUCUUCAGCAGGGGAGCUGCACCGCAGCUGCCAUGUUGCUGCAAACUGCAUCCUGGGAGGCAUGUCCCUCUCAGGCGUUUCAAGAGGAGCGCCCGGAGGCUCGUCGGAGGCGGCCGGAACCCAGACAGCUCCAUCUACAGCCGGUAGGAGCGAACAGUGAGGCGCGGGCCGCCGCGGCGCCAGACACGCCCUGAGCCCGUCGCGGCUCCCGGGCCCUCGCGGCUCACCUGGCGUCCUGGCGGCCCGGCGCCCUCGGGCCAGGCCGCGGCGGGCGGGCGGCGGAGCGGAAUCCCGGGCGCGCGGCUCGCGCGGCGCGCCGGCUCUGGAGGCGGGCCGAUGGGCUCCGACAGCCUUCCGCCCGCGGCCGCCUGCGCGUCUCAAACCCAGAACCCGGUCGUUGGCUUUCAAAACCUGCGCUCACAAAGGGAUCGGUGGGAGCCGUCACACCAGAGAAAGCCGGAGUUCAUGUGACCAGCGCGGUGCAGCCCGGGUUCCAGGGACGCGGGCUGUGGAGCUAAGGGGAGCGAGGGGUGGGGGUGGGAGUGCUUUGUGAAAAGCCUCAGUGUUGUUUUCGGCCAGAAAGGACAGAAUUCCCGGAAUCCUGGAGGGCACGGGCUGGAGGGGGCCGGACGGGCUGCUUCGGAGGAAACUGAGGCCGAGCGGCAAGAGGCUUGUUGACCCCAAGUUGCUGUUUGGCCCCCCGUGUUCACAGGGCUCUUUCCAACCUCGAGAGAUGACCCUCUUUCUUGGACAGGUUCGUUGGAACCCGUGCUUAUUGAAUGCCGAGGAGCUAGCGAGAUCUUGGAACGGAAUGAAAACAGAAAACAGAAGAAGAAGAAAAAAAAAAAGAGUCUGAGCAGCACUAACAGAUUUCUCACCCUGUGAAGUUUUCUUCCGUUUUUUUAGGUUGGAACUACCCCAGAUCCUCUUGGCUCAGGCUUCAGCCAUGCUAGGCAAGCACUCCACUACCCAGCACCCCCAGCCCUCUGCUGGCUGUUUUGAAAUACCCAGUCAACGGGAGCCACAGUUUACUCUGCUUUGCUGUAAGAAUACAAAGAUGAUUCCAUUUAAAUCUACAGUCUUAUGAGUUAUUUUCUCUUACAGAUGUUCAAAGAUUUCUCCGCACCCUGUUUCCCCUGCCUUUUAUAGGCUAAGUAUAUUAGCAUUUACUUUGUUGUUUUUUGAGGCAAGAGUCUUACUCUUUGUAACUUAGGCUGGUCUGGAACUCACAGUGCAUCCCAGCUAGCCUUCAACAGUAGCGUUAUUUAUUGCCUUAGCUCCCAAGUGCUGGAUUACAGAAGUGGGUUUAGCACCCAUGGCAGCAUUCUAAUUCUAAAGUUACUUUUUGCUUUUCACCAUUUACUUACUAGUUACACUUAAUUUUAAGUGGUUGCCUUAAGUUAUAGAGUAUCUAGACAGGUUAGUUUUUUGUCAGUUUGACACAAGUUCCAGUCAUUUAGGAAGAGGCGAUCUCAAUUGAGAAAAAGCCUUCAACCUUCCUAAUGCUUACCGCAUUUAAUACAGUGUGUUUCUGAUGGUCUUUGGCCACCUCUGUGAAAGCUUCCUUUCAUCCUCCAAAGGGGUCACGAGAACCUUUGAGAACCAUUUGAGAACCCCUUUGAGAACCAUUGCUAGCAGAUUGGCUGGCAGGAAAGGCUGUG